AUUUAUUUUAUUAGUUAUUUAUUUAUUUCAUUAAAUUUUUAGUAUAAUAAUAAUUAUUGUUUAAAAUUUCUUUAUUGGAAUAUUUUAUAUUUAUUUAUUAAUUUUUUAGUACCUUUUGUAUCAGGGUAAUUUAAUUUUUUUAUAAAUAUUUUUUUCCCGAAAUAAAUAGGUCAAUUAAAUUUUUAUUUUAUUUAUUGCAAAAAUUAAAUUAAUUUUUUUUUAGUAGAGAUAUUCUAUUCGAUUUUUAUUAUAUCUGGUUUUUUAAGACUAAAUUUAAUUUUAAAUUUUUUAUUUAAGAAAAUUUUAUUUUAUUAGGGAUAAGCUUUAUAUUUAAAUAUAAUUUUUAUUGUUUCAUUUUUUUUAAUUUUUAAAUUUUUUAUUUAGUUAUUAAUAUAUUUAAUUGUUUUAAUAAUAAUUUUGUUUAAUUUAUUUUUUUAUUAAAAAUAUUUAUUUAUUUAUAAUUUAUUUUAAAUCUUGGAUUAAUUAGUAAAAUUUUAAUUUAAUAUUAAAUGAAUUCAGCAAAUAUAAUUUUCAACUGUUUAACAAAAACAUUUCUUUUAGUUAUUAUUAAAAGUAAAUUCUGCCCUAUGAUUAUUUAAAUGGCUGCAGUAUUUUAACUGUACAAAGGUAGCAUAAUAAUUAGUCUUUUAAUUGAGGACUAGAAUGAAAGAUUAAAUGAGAAAUUUAUUUUAUUAAUUUUAUUUUUUAAAUUUUAUUUUUAAGUAAAAAAGCUUAAUAAAUCUUUUGGGACGAAAAGACCCUAUAGAACUUUAUUUAAUUUUUUUUAUUUUUUAUUAUUUAAAAAUUAUUAUUAGAAUUUAAAUUUUAUUGGGGUGAUUAAUAAAAUAAACUUUAUUUUUAAUUUUCAUUAAUUUAUGAUUUUUUUGUAUUAAAUUCUUAAUUAAAAGAUUAAGUUACCUUAGGGAUAACAGCGUAAUUUUUAUGGGGAGUUCAUAUCUAUAUAUAAGUUUGCGACCUCGAUGUUGAAUUAAGAUUAAUUAAUGAAGAAGUAUUUGUUAUUUUAAGUCUGUUCGACUUUUAAAUUCUUACAUGAUUUGAGUUCAAACCGGUGUAAGCCAGGUUGGUUUCUAUCUUAAAUUUAUUAAAGUAAUUUAGUACGAAAGGACCAUUUACUAUAUUUUUACUAAUAUUUAUUUU
rnacentral:rRNA from 1 species